rnacentral:lncRNA from 1 species
UAUCCCUCACAAGAAUCCUAGCUUAAUAAAUCUAUUUCUUGCCUGAAAAAAAAAAAAAAAAGAUUUUUACGUGUGCCUUGGGGAAAGACUAAGGAGAACAGCUAACCACUGACUUUCUCAAGGUUAAGUUUGCGAGGUAUUCAGUGGCCCUGUCGAAGCCAUUGAGUUGCCCUAAGUCCUUUUACUGGAGCUUUGGAGAAGACCAUUCUUUUUUUUUUUUUUUUUUUUUUCACUGAGAUUAUACAUAGGAGGGCAUGUAACUGGACCUUCAGGAAGCAAUUCAUUUGCAGCCUAGCAGAAGGCAGAAUAUAAACAUGAGGUAAGUUCUAAUGAUGAAUUUAUGCACUAACUUUCAAUACUGAAUCAGCUAUAUCCUUGGACUUUUCACCUAGAAGGGCCAAUAAAUUUUGCUUUGCUUAAAUCAUGAGUUUUCUGUCACUUGACAUAGAACCCAUCCAAAAGCUUAUUUUUAUUUAGGAUUCUAUCUAAAUAAUGUAAGAAAGCACAUCUUAAAGUGAAUUUUACACAUAAUCAAAAAAAUUAAGUAUGCUCAUUAAUUGCAGUGUCUGUGCUUUAGCUCUUACCAGCAAGCUUGCUAACCAACACUGAAAUAACGUUGGAUGGUUUGAAUUUCACCUUCUCUCCUUUCCUUUCCCUUCCCUCCUGUUUAAUGGAGGUGCUUAAUGAGUAGUGAAAAGUCCCAAAAGGUGAAUGAGAAAGAGAACAGUAUAAUCAAUCCGAAAGGCAAUGAACUCCAAAGAUAUUCAGUCGGUAACAUAUUGUUUGGACUUACUGAAGUUAUCAAUUUCAACAGGCAGUUUUUCCUGGCAUACUGAUGAAGAGUGGGUAGUAGUUUUUCUUCUGAAGGCUAACAUUUGGAAUAUUCAAUACUAUCAAAGAAUAGCUUUCUUAGAAAUAAAAAUGUUUUCAAAUAAUUUGAGAAGACAUACGUUAAUGACUUCAUAAAACUUUAUAGGGUAUAUCUGGGUUCGUUCAUGGUUUCUAUCAUACAAUGAUAUAAUUAUAUAAUAUUUGAUCCACACAAAAGGAACUUAUGCAGUACAUAUGUAAGUUAUGGAACAUAGUAAUAAAAUAAUUACUAUGGACUAAGUGCUCCCCCCUACCCAAUUUAUAGGCUGAAAGCUAAUCCCCAAUCUGAUGAGGAUGGCAGAGGGGUUUGGGGAGAUGAUUAGGUCAUGAGGACCUAACACUCAUGAAUGGGAUUAGUGGUCCAAUAAAAAAGACCCUACUGAGCACCUUAGCCCCUCUACCAUGUGAAGGCACAGUAAAAAGAUAAAACCAGGAAGCAAGCUCUCACCAGACACAGAAGCUGCCAGCACCUGAGUCUUGGACUGCCCAACACCAGGGAAUUGAUAUUUAUGUUCCCUCAGUGUAAGGGAAGUACUUACCUUGCUUCUCUUUAAAGACUUAACAUAUAUUGCUAAUACUAAAGUCAAAGUUAUGUCCCUUAAUUUAGUGUAUGCCAAAUACCCAGUUAAAAGUUAAAAUACAAAAAUAUCAUUCACCAAUUAAAAGGAAUAAAAUGCUAACAUAUGCUAUAAUAUGGGUGAACCUCAAAAACAUUAUGCUAAGUGAAAUAAGAAAGAAGAAAUAGAUCAUACAUUCUAUGAUUUAUAUCACUUAUAAUUUAUAUAAUAUUAUAGAAAAGACAAACUCAUAGAUCCAGAAAGUACAUCAGUGAUUGUCUGGGGCUGGGGAGGCAGGAGUGAGGAUUAACUGAAAAUGGGCAAGAGGGAAAGCCUCAGAGUGACAGAAAUGAUUUAAAGUUGGAUUGUGACAAUAGUGAUGGCAUAUAACCUCUAUAAAUCUAUUAGAAUCAUUGAAUGAGAAGGCUUAUGUUUAUGGUAUAUAAAUUAUACUUCCAUAAAUCUGCUAAAGGAGUUCCCUGGUGGCUCAGUGGGCUAAGGAUCCCACAUUGUCACAAUUGUGGCUCUGGUUACUGCUAUGGCACAGGUUCAAUCCCCAACCUGCUAAUUCUGCAUGCCAUGGGUGCAGCCACAAAAUAAAAAAGAAAGAAAAAUAAAAUAAAAUAAAGCUAUUAAACACAGAAAUGUAAUUUCCCUAAAAUCUGAUUCAUCAGUUUGAUUUCACUUAAAUAAAGCAAUCUGUAAUUAUUUGGGCUUUUGAAGAAACUGCUUCAGGCAGCUAAAUUUAAUAUUUACAUGGACAGUUUAAUGAGCCCACCUUAAAGUAAAGCUAGAAUGGAAGAGAUCUGGCAACUUGAAAAGACCUGCUAUUGAAGAUGGCAACUAAAAGUGAGUUGGAUUACUUGCCAAGGGGCCUGAAAUAUGACAUUGGGAAGUAAUCACCGCCCCACAUGCAAGUAGAGAAAUCUUAAAACAGCAGCAGAUUUCCCAAGGGAUCCUAUGUCAUGAUGAGGAAGGAUUACAGGAAACUUCUACUAACACUUUAUUUUCCUUCCUGGAGCUCUGGGAGAGGUUUCAGUAACUCAGUGGACAGGUCAAUGGCUACUUACACUAUAGAGUUACCCGCAGCCCUCAUGAUAACUUAUGCCUCGCCUACUUCUCUUAAAACCCUCUUUCCUUUUGUCAGAGGCAUUUAAGUUUUGUGUUUCCCCAAGUUUUCAACUCUCAGUUGAGUUUGGUUUGUGAAUUAAAGUAGGACAUCACACAAAACAUGCCCUCAAAGGAAAGCCAAUAAUGAAAGGAUGACUUGGUCAAAUUGAUCCCACUCUUUUGGAUGUAAUUUUAAAUGAAAUAGAGCACAUUUAUCUCAAAAUAGAUGUACCUAAAGCUAAAAUAUAAGAAAUCUAACAUACUCAAGAAUAUUUUUUAAAAUUUAAGUUUGUGGAGCAAAGAAGGAAGGAUAUUGUUCAGAUAAUUGAAGCUCUUGCCCAAAAUACCAGUUUUGUCUCAGUUAUCUUGAUAUUGCAGGAGAAAAAGAACUGGCAUGGAUUGUCCUAAUAACGAAAAUUCUUCUAAUGGUUUUGCAUACGUACAAAAAAUAAAAGUGAAAUAUGUUAGUGUAGAGUUUAACAUUCUAGAAAUAAGCAAUCAAAAAAAGACAUGGAGUUCCCGUCGUGGCUCAGUGGUUAACGAAUCCAACUAGGAACCACGAGGCUGUGGGUUUGAUCCCUGGCCUCGCUCAGUGGGUUAAGGAUCCAGUGUUGCUCUGAGCUGUAGUGUAGGUUGCAGACGCAGCUCGGAUCCCCAGUUGCUGUGGCUCUGGCAUAGGCAGUCGGCUACAGCUCUGACCAGGCCCCUAGCCUGGGAACCUCCAUAUGCCGUGGGUGAGGCCCUAGAAAAAGACAAAAAGACAAAAAAAAAAAAAAAAAAAAAAAAAGACAUGAUUGCUCUCAACAUUUUCUAUGUAAAUUGUGAGAAGACAAGGCUUGCAGCUAUCUGACAAAUAGCCAUCAGUCUGGUUUGCACUACAGUUUUCUUUUAUGUUAUUAAAAAAAGAAUCUUAUUCCAGAUGUUUGGUUUCUCAGCAGGUCUGAGUUUCUAUAGCAUUGAAUACUUUUUUAAAUAGACAACAGUCACUUGAUUUAAAAAUUCAUGAGCAUGGCACAGGGAAUUAUGAUCAAUAUUUUGUAAUAACCCAUAAGGAAAAAGAUUCUGGAAAAGAAUAUAUAUUAUAACUGAAUCACUGUGCUUUACACCUAAAACUAACAUGGUAUUGUGAAUGAAUUAUAUUCCUUUUUUUUCCUUUUUUUUUUGUCUUUUUGUCUUUUUCUUGGGCCCCACCAGAGGCAUAUGGAGGCUCCCAGGCUAGGGGUCAAAUUGGAGCUGUAGCCGCCGGUCUACGCCAGAGCCACAGUGAUGCCAGAUCCGAGCCGCGUCUUCGACUUACACCACAGCUCACGGCAACGCCAGAUCCUUAACCCACUGAACAAGGCCAGGGAUUGAACCCGCAACAUCAUGGUUCCUAGUUGGAUUCGUUAACCACUGAGCCACACGGGAACUCCUGUUAUAUUUCAAAAAAAAAAAAAAAUUCUCUGCUCCAAACAAAAAAAAUUUAGCAAAAUAAAAUUAAAAUGCAUGAGUAUUCUAGGAUGUGAGAAAGAUUGUUUUAUUCCUAUAUGUCAUUUUUUGUCCAUAGGUGAAAGAUAUAACUAUAGAAGCUUUAAGAUAAUAUUAUUCUUUUAACUAGUUUCAUUUGGUAUGUGUCAGUAACACUUCUGAUAUCAAAGAUGGAAACCUAAUACAAUGUGAGUUGUUUUUAUAUGCCAAUGUUUUAUUUUAAAACACACACACAUUGGAACCAAACAUCACUAAGUAAUUUAUUGGUGAUAGUGCACUUAGACAAUUCCUCAGAACAGUCACUCUUUAGUAUUAUUCCCUCUAAUUCAGUGGAUUUCUGUUAUAUAAGUUACAGUUCAAGAUCUAAGUCAGUUCUCACAUCUUACCAACAAACCCAUAAUAAAGAGAGACCCGUGUUAGAAAAGGAUUUGCUUGCCAUCCCUACCUUACCUUCAACCCAUCAAGGUCAUAUGCAAAAAUUAUGUUUUUCAAAAGAGUCCAAAGCAUUAAAUUUACAUUCACAGAAAUCAGACUGCUAACUGUGUGAUGGGCCCAUGCUUGCUCUAGACCACUUAAGGCAUUCAGUAAUCUUCCAAACCUGCAAUGCAAAUAAAGGACCUUUGUCUUGACAAUACCUCUGCAAGGAAAGAAUAAAAACUAGAAAUGUACCAGAAGAAAUGUAUGCUCUCUUACUCUCAGAAGAUCCUUAAUUAAUGCUUUGCAAACUUUUAUUAUAACAAUGGAAUCCUUGACUCAAACACAUCUUUCUCUCAUUUGUAAUUCUAUUUGUUAUACUUAUUUUCAAUUUUACAGUUAAUGGAUCUUUGUAAAGGACAGAUAUUCACUCCUUUCUUAAUUUGCAUUUGUCAAUGUUAAGAAGAAAAUGUUGUGUACUUACGUAAUGUUGUGUACUAUAUCAUGACAAAGUUCCCAUCCUGGCUCAGCGAAAAUGAAUCUGACUAGCAUCCAUGAGGACGACGGUUCGAUCCCUGGCCUUGCUCAGUGGGUUAAGAAUCUGGCCUUGUGUGCUGUGGUGUAGGUUAAAGAUGAAGCUCAGAUCCUUCGUUGCUGUGGCUGUGGUAUAGGCCAGCAUCUACAGCUCCAAUUUGACCCCUAGCCUGGGAACCUCCAUAUG